rnacentral:rRNA from 1 species
CUUUGGAAACCGAAUGUCGACUUGGAGGUUGUGCCCUUGAGGCGUGGCUUCCGGAGCUAACGCGUUAAGUCGACCGCCUGGGGAGUACGGCCGCAAGGUUAAAACUCAAAUGAAUUGACGGGGGCCCGCACAAGCGGUGGAGCAUGUGGUUUAAUUCGAUGCAACGCGAAGAACCUUACCUACUCUUGACAUCCAGAGAACUUUCCAGAGAUGGUUUGGUGCCUUCGGGAACUCUGAGACAGGUGCUGCAUGGCUGUCGUCAGCUCGUGUUGUGAAAUGUUGGGUUAAGUCCCGCAACGAGCGCAACCCUUAUCCUUUGUUGCCAGCGGUUCGGCCGGGAACUCAAAGGAGACUGCCAGUGAUAAACUGGAGGAAGGUGGGGAUGACGUCAAGUCAUCAUGGCCCUUACGAGUAGGGCUACACACGUGCUACAAUGGCGCAUACAAAGAGAAGCGACCUCGCGAGAGCAAGCGGACCUCAUAAAGUGCGUCGUAGUCCGGAUUGGAGUCUGCAACUCGACUCCAUGAAGUCGGAAUCGCUAGUAAUCGUAGAUCAGAAUGCUACGGUGAAUACGUUCCCGGGCCUUGUACACACCGCCCGUCACACCAUGGGAGUGGGUUGCAAAAGAAGUAGGUAGCUUAACCUUCGGGAGGGCGCUUACCACUUUGUGAUUCAUGACUGGGGUGAAGUCGUAAA